CUCAGAACGAACGCUGGCGGCGUGGAUAAGACAUGCAAGUCGAACGGGAGAAUUGCUAGCUUGCUAAUAAUUCUCUAGUGGCGCACGGGUGAGUAACACGUGAGUAACCUGCCUCUUAGUGGGGGAUAGCCCUGGGAAACCGGGAUUAAUACCGCAUACGAUUGAAAGAUCAAAGCAGCAAUGCGCUAGGAGAUGGGCUCGCGGCCUAUUAGUUAGUUGGUGAGGUAACGGCUCACCAAGGCGAUGACGGGUAGCCGGUCUGAGAGGAUGUCCGGCCACACUGGAACUGAGACACGGUCCAGACACCUACGGGUGGCAGCAGUCGAGAAUCAUUCACAAUGGGGGCAACCCUGAUGGUGCGACGCCGCGUGGGGGAAUGAAGGUCUUCGGAUUGUAAACCCCUGUCAUGUGGGAGCAAAUUAAAAAGAUAGUACCACAAGAGGAAGAGACGGCUAACUCUGUGCCAGCAGCCGCGGUAAUACAGAGGUCUCAAGCGUUGUUCGGAAUCACUGGGCGUAAAGCGUGCGUAGGCUGUUUCGUAAGUCGUGUGUGAAAGGCAGGGGCUCAACCCCUGGAUUGCACAUGAUACUGCGAGACUAGAGUAAUGGAGGGGGAACCGGAAUUCUCGGUGUAGCAGUGAAAUGCGUAGAUAUCGAGAGGAACACUCGUGGCGAAGGCGGGUUCCUGGACAUUAACUGACGCUGAGGCACGAAGGCCAGGGGAGCGAAAGGGAUUAGAUACCCCUGUAGUCCUGGCAGUAAACGGUGCACGCUUGGUGUGCGGGGAAUCGACCCCCUGCGUGCCGGAGCUAACGCGUUAAGCGUGCCGCCUGGGGAGUACGGUCGCAAGAUUAAAACUCAAAGAAAUUGACGGGGACCCGCACAAGCGGUGGAGUAUGUGGCUUAAUUCGAUGCAACGCGAAGAACCUUACCUGGGCUUGACAUGUAAUGAACAACAUGUGAAAGCAUGCGACUCUUCGGAGGCGUUACACAGGUGCUGCAUGGCCGUCGUCAGCUCGUGUCGUGAGAUGUUUGGUUAAGUCCAGCAACGAGCGCAACCCCUGUUGCCAGUUACCAGCACGUCAAGGUGGGGACUCUGGCGAGACUGCCCAGAUCAACUGGGAGGAAGGUGGGGACGACGUCAGGUCAGUAUGGCCCUUAUGCCCAGGGCUGCACACGUACUACAAUGCCCAGUACAGAGGGGGCCGAAGCCGCGAGGCGGAGGAAAUCCUGAAAACUGGGCCCAGUUCGGACUGUAGGCUGCAACCCGCCUACACGAAGCCGGAAUCGCUAGUAAUGGCGCAUCAGCUACGGCGCCGUGAAUACGUUCCCGGGUCUUGUACACACCGCCCGUCACAUCAUGGAAGCCGGUCGCACCCGAAGUAUCUGAAGCCAACCGCAAGGAGGCAGGGUCCUAAGGUGAGACUGGU
rnacentral:rRNA from 1 species